AAAUAUUUCAUGCCGAAUUCCUCAUUUCUUGGGGAAACGGGGGAACCACUACCCGGGUGAAUUGAUCUUGCCAGACAGGGAUCAUAGGGAACCUUCAACCGAACCCUCCAGCUAACCUCGUAGGCACCGGAAGGAGACAAG
rnacentral:sRNA from 2 species